rnacentral:tRNA from 1 species
UGUGGUUCAGUGGGUAGGAGCACUUGCUUUACAAGCAUGAGGACCUGGGUUCAAAUCUCAAGCA